AUACGGAGGGUGCAAGCGUUGUUCGGAAUUAUUGGGCGUAAAGCGCGUGUAGGCGGUCUGUUAAGUCUGGUGUGAAAGCCCUGGGCUCAACCCAGGAAGUGCAUUGGAUACUGACAGACUUGAGUAUGGGAGAGGAAAGCGGAAUUCCGAGUGUAGGAGUGAAAUCCGUAGAUAUUCGGAGGAACACCAGUGGCGAAGGCGGCUUUCUGGACCAAUACUGACGCUGAGACGCGAAAGCGUGGGGAGCAAACAGGAUUAGAAACCCUAGUAGUCC
rnacentral:rRNA from 1 species